CGCCGGGAGCCAGGAUUGACGCUACUGGUGCUGACGGAACAAACUCGGGCGGCGUUGGCCGGGUACUGCAAAAGAAUGUUUCUUAGCAGUUCCGAACGGGCAGCACUGCGCUCAGCUCAGCUGACGCCAACUGGGAAAAAGCGACCGGUCUUGCCGGCUGUUGCGCCGCUGGAGCUGGUAACUAGUGUGUGCAGUUGCCUCCAGGCGGCAGCACCGCACGGAGCCGUGGUUUCUGCGUUCACUGGAUCCGACCGGCGUCUGCUUUGCGUCGUCUGCUUUUAGGCUUUUGGGUCCUGAAUCUGGCUCAGUCUGUUCGCACUUGAUCGGCAGUUGUUUUUCAUUGGCUUGUGCAAAGCUGUGUUGCGUAUGUUGAGCUUCUUACCGUAGGACAGCCGGUCUGCGGGGAGAGGCGAGGCCAGCCUUUGGCCGCUUCCGUGUUCCGUGGUUCCCCGUUAAAGUCGGCGCUGUUUUCCCCGUGGCCGAGCCCUCCCUUUGCUGCGCUACCCCGUGCCUUUGCAGUUGCCGUGCCUGGCAGACAACCAGUGUCUGGCUUGGCCCUCUAGUCCUGACAACUGCUUCGUCGGCGCUGUGCAACGGAAACUCUCCCAGCUCCUGUUUCCCCAACGAGCGCAGAUUUCGAAAACACCGCGCUUUAGAAGACCGUUUCAUCCCCCACAAAUAAAUAGUUGUGGUUAUUCUUU